rnacentral:rRNA from 1 species
UCCUCCCUCGCCACGCCCCUCCUCUCCGACUCCAUCACGCCCACCACCCCCACCCGCGCCGCCAACGGCCACGCGCGGGGCCACGACGGCGACGACGACCUCUGCGCCGCCGCCUCGGUGUGCGACGGCGGCGACCCGUUCGCGUUCCUCUCGGAGGACAGCCGCCCGCCGCGGCCGCCGGGCCCGUCCCCCGCCGACCCGUUCCGCAACAGGACGCCGUGGCUGGGCGGCCCGUACGGGUGGGCCAGGACGCUGCUGCUCGCGCCGGUCGCGGCGGCGCGGCUCGUGCUCUUCGGGCUGGCCAUCGCGAUCGGGUACGCAGCCACGUGGGUGGCGCUGCGCGGCUGGACCGACUCGCGGGAGCGCCCGCGGGAGGGCGCCGGCCCCAUGCCGGCCUGGCGCCGCCGGCUCAUGUGGGUCACCAGGCUCUCCGCGCGCUGCAUCCUCUUCUCCUUCGGGUAUCACUGGAUCACACGAAAAGGAAGGCCUGCGCCUAGAGAGCUUGCACCUAUAGUCGUUUCCAAUCAUGUAUCAUACAUAGAUCCCAUAUACUUCUUCUAUGAAUUGUUCCCAACCAUUGUUUCAUCGGAUUCCCAUGAUGCCAUACCAUUUGUUGGAACAAUCAUAAGAGCAAUGCAGGUUAUAUACGUUGAUAGAUUCUCGCCAGCUUCAAGGAAGUCAGCUGUGAAUGAAAUAAAGAGAAAGGCAGCUGGCAAUAGCUUUCCGCGUGUCCUGUUGUUCCCUGAAGGCACUACAACAAAUGGGAGAUUCCUGAUCUCAUUCCAACAUGGAGCAUUCAUACCUGGCUACCCUGUUCAACCAGUUGUUGUUCGUUACCCCCAUGUGCACUUUGACCAAUCCUGGGGAAACAUAUCACUAAUAGCACUCAUGUUCAAGAUGUUCACCCAGUUUCACAACUUCAUGGAGGUAGAGUACCUCCCUAUUGUCUACCCCCCUGAGAUCAAGCAAGAGAAUGCCCUUCAUUUUGCAGAGAAUACCAGCUAUGCUAUGGCACACGCCCUUAAUGUUUUACCGACUUCUUAUUCAUAUGCUGAUUCAAUGAUUGCGUCAAGAGCAGAAGAAGCUGGAAAGGCCAACUGCUCAAGUUAUAUGGUGGAAAUGGCUUGGGUAAAAGAAGUGUAUGGUGUAAGCACAGCAGAAGCAAUGGAACUCUUGGAGUACUUUUUGGCUAUGAAUCCAGACAGUGAUGGACGUGUUAAAGCACAAGAUUUUUGGGCUAUUUUUGGCCUAGAUUGCAGUCCUCUAUGCAAGAAGAUAUUUCACUACUUCGAUUUUGAAAAUAAGGAAUCCAUCACAUUCCGACAGUUCCUGGUCGGGUGUGCGCACCUCAGGAAGCAGCCAUUGUUUGAGGGAGUGUGCGAAACCGCCUUCGAGAAAUGCAAGGCCCCCGGGACCUCUGACAUAUCCCUUGCACAGCUAGCCGACGCCCUGCGGUCGGGCAUGCUUCCUCCAGCAGACGAUGGGAUGCUGAAGCUGUUCGAGACGUUUGACAUUGAUGACGACGACAAAAUCAGCAGGGAUGACUUUGUGGCAUGCCUUGCAAGGUUCCCUUUCAUGAUCGCCCUCUUCGCUGGCCGGAUCAACGGGGAGGUUUACAUCGAGAUAGUUUGA